UCCCCAGGUGGAUUCUUAUCGCUUUCGCUUAGACGCCUACUGUGUAUCGCCACAUCGAGUAAUCAUGUUUACAGCGUGGACUACCAGGGUAUCUAAUCCUGUUUGAUACCCACGCUUUCGUGCCUCAGCGUCAGUUACAGUUUUGUGAGCUGCCUUCGCAAUCGGUGUUCUGUGUCAUAUCUAAGCAUUUCACCGCUACAUGACACAUUCCGCCCACCUCAACUGUACUCAAGAAUUGACAGUAUCAAUGGCAGUUCUGCUGUUAAGCAACAGGCUUUCACCACUGACUUAUCAAUCCGCCUACGCACCCUUUAAACCCAAUGAAUCCGGAUAACGCUUGGAUCCUCCGUAUUACCGCGGCUGCUGGCACGGAGUUAGCCGAUCCUUAUUCUUAC
rnacentral:rRNA from 1 species